CCUACGGGUGGCAGCAGUGAGGAAUAUUGGUCAAUGGGCGGGAGCCUGAACCAGCCAAGUCGCGUGAGGGAAGACGGUCCUAUGGAUUGUAAACCUCUUUAGGCGGGGAGCAAUGCCGGGCACGCGUGCCCGGAGGGCGAGUACCCGCAGAAUAAGCAUCGGCUAACUCCUUGCCAGCAGCCGCGGUAAUACGUAGGGGGCAAGCGUUAUCCGGAUUUAAUGGGGGUAAAGGGAGCGCAUACGGCAAUGCAAGCCUGGGGGGAAAGGCGGGGGCCCAACCCCCGGACUGCUCUGGAAACUGUAUAGCUAGAGUGCAGGAGAGGCAAGUGGAAUUCCUAGGGUAGCGGUGAAAUGCGUAGAUAUUAGGAGGAACACCAGUGGCGAAGGCGGCUUGCUGGACUGUAACUGACGUUGAGGCUCGAAAGCGUGGGGAGCAAACAGGAUUAGAUACCCGGGUAGUC
rnacentral:rRNA from 1 species